AAUUAGGCCUUUGGUAAAAUAAUGACUAAGGACACAACACAAGCGUUGUUUCUCGUAAGUUUCCUUAUAGGCCAAAGUAUUCUGCACCAGUUGAGCCAGCACUUGUCGGUCGUUCAAUACUGUUCACAACUAUAAGAAUACCCAAUCUGAUUACUAAUCUAAUACAUGUAUUGUUUUUUUUUUUAAUAUCAGGAAGUAAGUACCUAUAUUGCAUUGUAAUCGUUGCCUACAAAUCUGUCUACCUGGCCCUUGUAACGAUUCAUUUGAAAUUUGGUAAUUUGAUCGGUAACUUAAGACGCCACCCGGUGUAGCCAUUGCGUUAUCAACCUUUUGGUGAAGAGAUUUGAGGAUUGGGGAUUAGGAGAAUAAGGAGGGGGAGAAUUAGGCCUCCGAUGACCUAAUUCACACAGCAAAGCUCAACACAAGCGAUGUUUCACGUCAGUUUUCUGUUAAGUCAUAGUAUGCCUCCGGUUGAGCUGGCACUAAUGUCGGUUGUUAAAUACUAUUCACAACUGUAAGAAUACCUCAUCUGAUUAGUAAUCUAAUACAUGUAUUAUUCUUUUUUAAUAUCAGGAAGUAAGUAUCUGUAUUCAUACAACAUCUUACGUUGUAAUCGUUACGUACCUACAUAUCUCUAAUCUAAUAACCGUACUGUAUUUUUGAAAUAUCAGUUAAUGCAAAAAGGAAUUGAUGACGCGUCAAAGUUACAUUUUAUACAGUUAUAUUAUUAGAUUUGAGCAUGAUUGUGUCUAUGUGAUAAAAGGCAUAUCAGUCUCAUUACGUUGUUUGUUCAUAACUGUAACAAUACUUCAUCUGUUAUUAAUGCAAUAUAUCGUUCUUUUAUUGAAACAUUAGAAACCUGUAAGUACCUAUAUUAAUACAAGAUCUUACGGUGUAAUCGUUACGUACCUACACAUGUCUAAUCUGCUACCACUAUUGUUCUUAUUUUAAAUCAGACUUUAAAUAAAUGGAGGACAUGUCCCGUACCAGCCACGCGCAUGCUGACACCGGUCACGUCGGAAUUUUUCUGGAAUCUUUCGCCUGACUAGCGCUGGAGUCUUAUUUGUUUUGACUCUGAGUAUUCUAGUCUAUCCCAGUUAUUUUAAAUAUCCAUCCUCUCUCUUUACUCGUCACUUAACAUAGUUUCGGUGCCAAUCCUUCUCAUAAGUUCGUCGACCAUCGCCUGCCAGGCCUACCGCGGGCCAAGACAUCGGUUGACGUCGAGUGGGUGGAAAAAUAAAUGAGGUCUACAAAGAGCAGUUGUAAAUUUAAUUUUAAAACGUCCAUUUGCUUUGAGAAUGUGUCUAUGAGAAAAAAGGCAUUUGAGUCUCAGUAUAGUGGUUGUUCACAAGUGUAACAAUACUUCAUCUGAUUACUAAUGCAAUAUAUUGUUCUUAUAUUGAAAUACUAGAAAGAAGUAAGUACCUAUAUUUAUUAAAGAUAUUACGUUGUAUCUUGAUAUAAUGCUAUCAGCUGAUGGUAAGCAAUCGGUGCCACCCAUAUUCAUGGACACCAGAAACACCUUUCUUUUAUUCAAGAGAUUACACUCCCGAGAGGAUCCCAUUUUCAUUACGUCAGAAUCUGAUGUUGGAAUCUUAGUGAAACCGAGAAGAACUUUCGAAAAUUGUAGGAGCGAGUAAUGCGUCUAUUAUGUUUUUCAAUAAAGAUUUAUAAACACUACAAUUUAUUAUGGGUCUGGAGUCGACUUGAGGAUAGAGUUUAGAGGCAGACGAGAGGACUCUUAAACGGUGUACAACUUCAUUGUGUUUGGACUUGAUUAUUUUGUGUUGAUAAGAACUUUACACCUAGAUGAAGUGAGAUUGGCGUUGAGUCUGAUGACGAAGAUGUGUAAAUGUUAAGGGAACUCCUCAACAGUGUACAGUAACUACCUUGUGUUCGGGCUGGAUUACUUUGUAUUGAUUAGAAUGUUGCACCUAUGUGAAUUAUAAGUAGCAACAGAGGUGUUCGUAGUAUUAUACUAAAGAUAAAAAAAAUAAAAAAGAACUUCACAAAUCCAAAAACGUAUAAUAAUAGUAGCCUUUUCAAUGCAGUGUUUUUAUUAGGGUCGAGGUUUAAGUAUUUAAAGAUUACGGAGGGACAAAAAUGGACGUCCGGUUUCCUAAUCCAUACGGUGAAACACAACACAAGCGUUGUAUCACGUCAGUUAUAUGUUAGGGCAAAGUAUCACUCCGGUUGGGCCCGCACUUAAGUCGGUUCAGUCGGUUAUACCUCAUCAUACCUCAUCUGAAUGCUAAUCUAAUACAUAUAUUGCUAAUUUUUAUUAUCAGGGCGUAAGUACCUAUAUUCAAACAAAAUAUUACGUUGUAAUCGUUACGUAUUUGCACAUCUGUCUACCUGACCAUUAUAACGAUUUGGGUAAAUCUUAGUAAUAUGAUAGGUAACCUAAGAUCGCAAAAAGGAUACUGGACCAUGUACCUAUACGUUCCACGCGAUUAGUAAAUUAAUGCGAGGACUUCACUAAAAGUAAAUCAUCUAAACGCUAUCAGCUGAUGGUACGCAAUCGACGCAACCCACCAGACAAACAAUUGCUUACCGGCCUUUUUGGGGUAGAGAUUUGAGGAUUGGGCAUUUCGAUACCUUAAUUGGCAAACCAGUCAACUCCACAUUUUGUCAAAAAAAAUUUUUUUCCCAUGGAACAAAAACAUCGUAUGGAACAAAAAGUAUGAUAGAGUUUUAAGUGUAAUAAUAAUAUGAUAUGUCGUCACGCCUUUAAUCCCCGAAGGGGUAAGCAGAGGUGCACAAUAUGGCACGUCUUAUGUGUCCCCUGUAAAAUUCGCUCAUAAGGAGUUAGCUGGUUUGCCAAUUAAGGAAUCGAUUUGGAGAUUACGGAGGGAGAGAAUUGGGCCUCCGGUAAAAUAUCUCACAUGGCACACAACACAAGCCUUGUUUCACGUCAGUUUUCUAUUUGGCCAAAGUAUUUCUGCGGUCCGCACAUUGGUCCGUUCAUUCGGUUGUUCAAUACUAUUCACAACGGUAAAGAAUACGAGUACUUCAUCCAAUUGCUAAUUUAUUACAUGUAUUGUUCUUUUUUAAUAUCAGGAAGUAAGUACCUAAAUUCAUACAAGAUAAUUACGUUGUAAUCGUUACGUACCUACAAAUCUGUCUACCUGACCCUUGUAACGAUUUAGGUGAAAUUUGGUAAAAUAUCUAUCAUAUUACCAAAUUUACUACUACUUGACAGUUGAGACCCAAAAUAAGGAUAAAGGGACUCAAGAUGUACCGAUAUCCACAGGAUUAGUGAAUGAAUGCGAUCACGUCACUAAUAGUAAUGAUUUAACAAUACGCUAAGUGCUAUCGGCUGAUGGUAAGCAAUCGACGACAACUAUACCCACGAACACUAGAAACACCAGGAGAGUUACAAUUGCGCUGCCAGCCUAUUUUGGUAGAGAUUUGAGACUUGGGGAUUUUGAGAUUACGGGAGGGGGGGGGGCAAGUUAGUAAAGUUACCUGAAUGGCCAAAGUAUCCUGCAUCGGUUGAACCGGCACUUGUCGGUUGUUCAAUACUGUUCAAAACUAUAAGGAUACCUCAUCUGAUUGCUAAUUUAAUACAUAUAUUGUUUUCUUUUUCUGAAAUCAGGAAGUAAGUAUCUAUAUUCAUACAAAAUAUGACAUUGUAAUCGAUGCCUACAAAUCUGUCUACUUGGCCCUUGUAACGAUUCGGGUGAAAUUUGGUAAUUUGAUAGGUAACUAAGACCCCAAAAAAAAGUAUAGUAAAAAAGUAGUAAGAUUUAAGAUGUACCUAAAAAAUCCACAGGCUUAGUGAAUGAAUGCGAGCACUUCACUAAACGUCACCCGGCGUAGCAAUUGCGUUAUCAACCUUUUGGUGAAGAGAUUUGAGGAUUGGGGAUUAGGAGAUUACGGAGGAGGAGAAUUGGACCUCCGAUGACCUAGUUAACACGGCGAAACCCAACACAAGCGAUGUUUCACGUCAGUUUUCUGUUAAGUCAUAGUAUCACUCCGGUUGAGCUGGCACUAAUGUCGGUUGUUGAAUACUAUUCACAACUGUAAGAAUACCUCAUCUGAUUAGUAAUCUAAUACAUGUAUUAUUCUUUUUUAAUAUCAGGAAGUAAGUAUCUGUAUUCAUACAAGAUCUUACGUUGUAAUCGUUACGUACCUACACUACAUAUCUCUAAUCUAAUAACCGUACUGUAUUUUUGAAAUAUCAGUUAGUACAAAAAGGAAUUGAUGACACGUCAAAGUUACAUUUUAUACAGUUAUUUUAUUCGAUUUGAGCAUGAUUGUGUCAAUGUAAUAAAAGGCAUAUCAGUCUCAUUAUGUUGUUUGUUCAUAACUGUAACAAUACUUCAUCUGAUUACUAAUGCAAUAUAUCGUUAUUUUAUUGAAAUAUUAGAAACCUGUAAGUACCUAUAUUAAUACAAGAUCUUACGUUGUAAUCGUUACGUACCUACACAUGUCUAAUCUGCAACCACUAUUGUUCUUUUUUUAAAUAAGACUUUAAAUAAAUGGAGGACAUGUCCCGUACCAGCCACGCGCAUACUGACACCGGUCACGUCGGCAUUUUUUUGGAAUCUUUCGCCUGACUAGUGCCAUAUUUGUUUUGAAUCUGAGUAUUCCAGUCUGUUCUAGUUAUUUUAAAUAUCCAUAUUAUGGUCUAAAAAAGGCACUUAUAAAUUUAAUUUUAAAACGUUCAUUUGCUUUGAGAAUGUCUAUGCGAGAAAAGGCAUGUCAGUCUUAUUAUGGCGGUUGUUCACAAGUGUAACAAUACUUCAUCUGAUUACUAAUGCAAUAUAUUGUUCUUUUAUUGAAACAUUAGAAAGUAAGUAUCUAUGUAUAUAUAUCUUUAAUCUUACGUUAUAAUCACAAUAUGUAAAGUACACAUCUGUCAACCUGACCACAGAUAACGAUUCGGGUGAAAGUAUUUAAUGUGACAGGUAAUUUAAAACCCCAAAAAAGGAUACAGGGACUCAAGAUGUAGGUACCUAUAAAUUAGGGGAUUAUACCACGGGAUUAGGGAAUGAAUGCGAGUACUUCGGUAAAAGUAAUGAUUUAACAAUACGCUACGUGCUAUCAGCUGAUGGCAAGCAUUCGGCGCCACCCAUACCCAUUGACACCAGAAACACCAGAGAAGGUAUAAUUGCGUGACAAGAUUUUUGCGUAAAGGUUCGAGGACUGGGGAUUACGCAGGGAGAGACGUGGGUCUCCGGUAACCUAAUCCACUCGGCGAAACACAAUAUAGGCGUUAUUUAGUCUCGUCAGAUUUCUGUUAGGCCAAAGCAUCACUCCGGGUGAGCCGGCACUUAUACGGCGUUCAGUCGGUUGCUCAAUACUGUUCACAACUGUAAGAAUAAGUACCUUUUUUGGUUGCAAAUCUAAUACUAUAUGUAUUGUUGUGUUUGUUAUUUUUUUUAAUACCAGGACGUAAGUACCUAUAUUCAUUAAAUAUGUUACGUUGUAUCUUGAUAUAAUGCUGAUCAGCUGAUGGUAAACAAUCGGUGCCACCCAAAUCCACGGACACCAGAAACAUCGCCUUUUUAACGACUUCAAAAAAAGGAGGAAUUACUAUGUUCGGCAGUUAUAAUUUAUUUAUUCACCGAUUACUCCAUUAAUUAUAGAUCAAUUUUCAAAAUUAUUUCUUAUUCAAGUGGUUCAUACUCCCAAGAGGAUCCCAUUUUCACUAAGUCAGAAUCUGAUGUUGGAAUCCUAGGGAAACCGAGGAGAACUUUCGUAAAUUGUAGGAGCGAGUAAUGCGUCUAUUAUGUUUUUCAAUAAAGAUUUAUAAACACUACUAUUCACUAUGGGCACCUGGGUGAAUUAUACGCAGCAACAGAAGUGUAUGUAGUAUUAUACUAAAAAUAAAUAAACAAUAUCUUCAAAAAUCCAUAAACAUAUAUGUAAUAAUGAAGGAAUUUUCAAUGCCGUUUUUUUAUUGGGGUCGAGAUUUAAGAAUUUGAAGAUUGAAUUUGAACGGCGGGGCAAAAAUGGACGUCCGGUAACCUAAUUCAUACGGUGAACCUUGUUUCACGUCAGUUUUCUGUUAGGCCAAAGUAUCACUCCGGUUGGGCCCGCACUUAGCUCGCACGUUUACAACUUUAAGAAUACCUCAUCUGAUUGCUAAUCUAAUACAAAUAUUGCUAUUUUUUUAUAUCAGGGCGUAAGUACCUAUAUUCAUACAAAAUAUUACAUUGUAAUCGUUACGUACUUGUAUAUCUGUCUACCUGACCACUGUAACGAUUUGGAUAAAUGUUGGUAAUAUGAAAGGUAACUUAAGAUCCCAAAAAUGAUACAGGGACCUAAGAAGAUGUACCUAUAAAUUAAUAAUGGAUGCGAGCACUUCACUAAAAAUAAAUCAUUUAACAACACGCUAAGUGCUAUCAGCUGAUGGUAUCCAAUCGACGCAACCCACCAGACAGACAAUUGUUUACCAGCUUUUUUGGAGAAGAGAUUUGAGGAUGGGCAUUUCGAUACCUUAAUUGGCAAACCAGCCAACUCCACAUUUUGUAAUUUUUUUUUUAUUUUUGUAUGGAACAAAAGGUAUGAUAGUGUUUUAAGUGUCUCCUGAAACUUUGCUCAAGGAGUUAACUGGUUUGCCAAUUAAUGAUUUGAAUAUUACGGAGGGAGAGAAUUGGACCUACGGUAAAAUAUCUCCCACGACAAAACACAACACAAGCCUUGUUUCACGUCAGUUUUCUUUUAGGCCAAAGUAUUAGUCUGGUGCGCACUUUGGUCGGCUGUCAGGUGUUCAAUACUGUCAAGUAUAAGAAUACCUCAUCUGAUUAGUAAUCUAAUACAUUAUUGUUCUUUUUUAAUAUCAGGAAGUAAGUACCUAUAUUCAUACAAGAUAAUAAUAUUACGUUGUAAUCGUUACGUACCUACAAAUCUGUCUACCUGACCCCUAUAACAAUUCGGGUGAAAUUUGGUAACUUAAUCGACCCUGAGUCUUAAAAGGACCCUGUAUCCUUUUAAGACCCCUAAAAAGGAUACAGGGACUCAAGAUGUACCUAUAAAUUUCACGAAAUUAGUCA